rnacentral:rRNA from 1 species
CGCGUAGGCGGCUUGGUAAGUAGGGGGUGAAAUCUCAUGGCUCAACUGUGAGGCUGCCUUCUAGACUGCUGAGCUCGAGCACAGUAGAGGCGAGUGGAAUUCCCGGUGUAGCGGUGGAAUGCGUAGAGAUCGGGAAGAACAUCGGUGGCGAAGGCGGCUCGCUGGGCUGUUGCUGACGCUGAGGCGCGAAAGCGUGGGGAGCAAACAGGAUUAGAUACCCUGGUAGUCCACGCUGUAAACGAUGGGUGCUAGGCGUCGGGGGGAGCGACCCCUUCGGUGCCGUCGCUAACGCAAUAAGCACCCCGCCUGGGGAGUACGGUCGCAAGACUGAA